ACAGUAUUCUCUGUAGCCUUAUC
rnacentral:miRNA from 14 species